GUCCAGAGAUGGGAAUCGAACCCACAACGUUCCGCUUACCGGGCAGAUGCCAUGUCCACUAGGCUACCCUGGA
rnacentral:tRNA from 1 species